rnacentral:rRNA from 1 species
UACGUAGGGUGCAAGCGUUGUCCGGAAUUAUUGGGCGUAAAGAGCUCGUAGGCGGUUUGUCGCGUCUGGUGUGAAAACUCAAGGCUUAACCUUGAGCUUGCAUCGGGUACGGGCAGACUAGAGUGUGCUAGGGGAGACUGGAAUUCCUGGUGUAGCGGUGAAAUGCGCAGAUAUCAGGAGGAACACCGGUGGCGAAGGCGGGUCUCUGGGGCAUAACUGACGCUGAGGAGCGAAAGCAUGGGGAGCGAACAGG